UACGUAGGGUGCGAGCGUUGUCCGGAAUUAUUGGGCGUAAAGAGCUUGUAGGCGGUCUGUCGCGUCUGCUGUGAAAAUCCGGGGCUCAACCCCGGACUUGCAGUGGGUACGGGCAGACUAGAGUGUGGUAGGGGAGACUGGAAUUCCUGGUGUAGCGGUGAAAUGCGCAGAUAUCAGGAGGGACACCGGUGGCGAAGGCGGUUCUCUGGGCCUUACCUGACACUGAGGAGCGAAAGCAUGGGGAGCGAACAGG
rnacentral:rRNA from 1 species